CAGUCGCACGGGAAUACGGAGGGCGCGAGCGUUACCCGGAUUUACUGGGCGUAAAGGGCGUGUAGGCGGCCUGGGGCGUCCCAUGUGAAAGGCCACGGCUCAACCGUGGAGGAGCGUGGGAUACGCUCAGGCUAGAGGGUGGGAGAGGGUGGUGGAAUUCCCGGAGUAGCGGUGAAAUGCGCAGAUACCGGGAGGAACGCCGAUGGCGAAGGCAGCCACCUGGUCCACUUCUGACGCUGAGGCGCGAAAGCGUGGGGAGCAAACCGGAUUAGAUACCCGUGUAGUCCCUGUCUCUUAUACA
rnacentral:rRNA from 1 species